AGACCAAGAAGCACAAUCCCAUCUAAACCUGAUAUUCUGAUCUGCCCAUCCCCCAACCCCAAGAAUCCCUCACCCAAGGCCGGCUACAACCCUAGCUUGGAGCUUCACCUUAGGCUCUAUAAAUAGAGCACCCUGUAAAGGGUCACUACCUUAUUACAGUGAGACUGUGGGAGUAGUAGUAGCUGCGGCUGUGGAUGCACAGCUUGGGAGAAAAGCAGUACAGGUCAUGUGGGCUUAUCAAAGGGGCGCUUACUGAGAGUUCUUUGGCAUUCUGUCCACCUCCUUGUCGAAUCCUCAGAGACAGAAAUCUCAUAUCUGUUGAUCUUGGAGGUGGGCAUACUGCCAAUGGAGCUGUGUAGGCCUCCCUUUGUAAAACCCAUAUGACUCAAAAUCAAGAGAGGGUCUUGUUAAUUAGAUCUGAUUAGUUCUUUGGAAACCCUAACCAAGCCUGGUUGAUUCUUGCCUUGUUUAUUUGGUUCUUUUAAUUGUUUUGGGGGGGGGG
rnacentral:precursor_RNA from 1 species